ACAAAGCUGCUGACAUGGUCCCUCUUACACAGACCACAGACUUCAGUGGUACAGACAAGGUAAGGGAAGAAUGUGAUGGUUUCCAAAGGACUGUCUCCGUGGUCUGGUAACGUUGAAAGUUCUUAAUGGUCAGGAGCACACAUAACUCUUCAGAGUGAUAGAGCUUCAAAGAAAGUUCUAGAGGGGAUCAUUCAGCUGAGUUUCAGGACAGCUUCCUGCUCUCAUACACAUCACAUGUUUUUCACUUGAUAAUGUAUUAGGGAACUUCUAGGAUGUACCAACUUGUACUUUUCAAUUUGUUUUUACCUCAUUUACCUUUGUAAUGGUGGGAACUCUCCAUAUUUUUAUCUGGAGUCCUUAAGUCUCAGUGAUAAUGAAUUGACAACAUAUAGAGGCAUUUUUAAUUUCUUUAUGUGUCUUUUAUUAUCUGCUAAGUACUAAUUAUUUAGGCUAAGCUUACCUAAAUCAUUGUGGACUUGGUAAUUAGAUGAUUAGAAUUUACUAUCAACUAUAAGUCAGUCUUCCCUGAAUUCCUGCUAUACUUGUAGACUGGAUAUUGUACUAUAUAAUAGUUUUCUUUUUCUUUGAAAAAAUUUAUUUGCUUCAAAGGCAUAGUUACGGAGGUAGAGGGAAGAGAGAAAUCUUCCAUCUGUUGGUUCAUUCUACAAAUGGCUGCCAAUAGCAGGGGCUGGAACUGGCCUAAGUCAGGAGCCUGGAAUUCCAUCAGGGUCUCCUAUGUGGGUGGGAGGGGCCCAAGAACCCUGGACCAUGUUCUGCUGCUUCCCCAGACACAUUAUCAAGGAGCUGGAUCAGAAGUGGAGUAGCAAGGACUCGAACCAGAGCUCACAUGAGAUACAAGCAGGCAGUGGUUUGCCCAGCUGUGCCAUAAAUACAGCCCCCACUUUAUGUACGUGGCAGAGAGAUAUAUAGACACAGAAGGAGAUCUUAUCUGCUAAUUCACUCCCCAGAAGCUUGUCAUGACCAGGGCUGGACAGGAAGCUAGAGCUGGAAACCAGGAACUAAAUCCAGGUCUCCAAUGUGGGUGGCAGGAAUCUAACUGCACAAGGAAAAACAAGGAUAUACUGUCUCCCAGGAUCUGCAAUUAGCAGGAAACUGGAAUCAAGAGCCAGAGCUCUUGGGGAUUGAACCCUGAUACUUUGAAGGGGAUUUAGCGUGUCCUGACUGGCAUGUUAACUUCUAUGGCAAGUCUGCCCCUGGAUACUGUACUUUUCCUUGGCGAUUUAAGGCCAUCAUGGUAGUAGACACCAUUUCUCAGUGCUCCAGUGGUUCAUUAACCGUAGUUAAUGUCGUCAAGUGCCAGCUCUGCCUGGGAUCUUGGUCAAGCCUAUUAACUUUUAUAAUUUUUAGUUUUUCUCUAUCAAAUAGGAAGCACAGACUUCCAUGGGAUUCUGUCAGGAGUGAACAAAGUAAUACACAGACGGAGCUUUGAGAACUCUACAAACAUGGGAUAUUAGGUGAGGAAGCUCGUCUGUCACAUACAGAGGAUAGCUAGUUAACAGAAUAUAUUACAAAUACAUUACACUUAUCUGUAAGCCAAGUCCAUAGGUCAUUCAGAGAUGUAGUAGUUUUGUAACAUGUAAGUGGUGGCUAAUAAGUUUGCACACUUGAUAAAUGCUGUGAUGAAAGCACAAUACCUGAACACAAGAGUCCAGCAAAUAUUUAUGGAAUUGAAUAGAACUGAGUCUUAAAGAAGCAGUGAAACUAAGUUAGAUCAGUAGUGCAGUGGGUGGAUGCUCUAAGCAGAGGGUAUGGAACUGAAAGUGCUUUGGUCACUGGGGAAAUUUUGGGGAGUUUGGCAGGGCCAUGUCACAAUUGUAGGAAGUGGGAAUUAAUGAGAAAUCAGGAUGAAGUAGUGAACAUGGACCAAGGCAUGACAAGCACCGUGUGCUGUGCUGGAAUAAACAUUCAUUCUGAAGGUCACGGUAAACAUUGGAAAGGUUUUAAACAGGAGAGAAAUACGCUCAUACUGGUCCUUUACAGAGACUCCUCUGGUGGCAGACAUGAUGGAUGGGGAGACAAGGAAGAGCAUAUCCUAGUAACUCAGACGUUCUAUGGGGUUUGCCCAUAAAAACUAUGGGAGCAAGACAGUCCAGAGCAAGGUGUGUAUUUGGUGAUGCUGAGCCUGCGUGUGGUGUUCUUUGCAUAUGAAAAUUCUGUUUCACCAUUUCUAAGGCAUUUCUUUGCCUGGAGGAGGCACCAUGUUCGUCUGAUCUGCAUACUCUAGUUAAUCUGACAUAUGGGAUUAUAAACAGACAACCUGUGGGAUGCAGGAGACUUCACUGGCAUCUUAACCACUAGACUAAAUCCCUGCCCCAGGUAGGUGUAUUUUUUGAAUAACCUGCAUGGGUGCUCACCUCUACUUGAAAAAACUCCACAGACAUCUCCGUGCCAACAGAUGCAGGACGCACCCCUUUCCAAGUCGUCGUGCUACACAAGUGUGAGCAAAUUUUGGGAUCUUUGUGCACAAGGAAGAAGAUGUGACCCCUCCCCCCAAUUGGAUGCAUGUGUUGAAACUCAGACAAGACUUCAUGGACAACAAUGAUUUUGGAGAAAAAAAUUCUCAUUCAUCAGCCUAAAGAGGAACCCUGUUUUAUCGCAGAUCACCAUCAUGGGAUUUAAAAUUCAGGGUGGCCUUGCUCGUGGCUUCUGAGUAUGUUUCAUGGUGUAUUUGAGGGACAUCCUCCCCAGACUGCGACCCAGACACUGCCCACUGGUUCGUCACUCUGGACCGCUGUCAACCGCUGUCUCUACAUUUCUUUUACGCAAUACAGGGAUGGCAGUGCCAUAGAUGGCAAACAUCCAACUUCCUGCCAAUCAUCCAUCCUCCUGCUAACCAACCACGAGCCUCCGUUGACCACUGCUGAGAAGUCUCGAACAGGAGUCCUGGAGAUUUUCAGUGGUGACUCUGAGGUGCUGUAACAUCCCUCAGAUACCUUCGUUAGUGUAAAAUUACAUUAAUUUUGAAAUAGUUUGAAAAUGAAUUAUAUUAGGGGCUGGCGCUGUGGCGCAGCAGGUUAACACCCUGGCCUGAAGUGCCGGCAUCCCAUGUGGGUGCUGGUUCUAGUCCGGGCUGCUUCUCUUCCAAUCCUGCUCUCUGCUAUGGCCUGGGAAAGCAGUGGAAGAUGGCCCAAGUUGUUGGGCCCCUGCACCUGCCUGGGAGACCCGGAAGAAGCUCCUGGCUUCGGAUCGGUGCAGCUCCAGCCGUUGCUGCCAUCUUGGGAGUGAACCAUCGUACGGAAGACCUCACUCUCUCUGCCUCUCCUCCUCUGUGUAGCUCUGACUUUCAAAUAAAUAAAUAAAUCUUAAAAAAAUAAAAUGAAUUAUAUUUUUAUUUUAUGGCAAAACUGUUAAGCAUAAUUACUAUUAAUGGACCAUAUGCAGCUGAACUGGGAAACAAAAUUUUAAAAAAUAUCCAAUAUUUGUGUUGGGAUCCCAGAAACAGGACAGGGAAAGGAGGAAGCCUGAUCCUGCAAGGGGCUCCAGUGUCUAAACUUGACCUCAGUUGUCCCACCCUAAGGCAAAGGAGCUGGCCCCCACGCCACACCUGUAGUCAUUGGUUAACAGCCCCUGGGGUGAAGAUUAAGUAUGUUAACUCCUUGGUAUGGUUGGCCCUUUGCUUGUGGAGUGAAAAGGAUCCUGGGACCUGGGGCAGCCCUUUGAAGUGGAGCUGCAGCUGCUACUUACUGAAAGCUAUACAAAGAGACGAGGCAACACAUGGAAAAGAGGAAUUCCAUGGGACCUGGAGGGAACAUUAUGAUUUGUGACAGAUUAAGGAAUAGGUAUCCUCUUCUGCCACAGAGCUCCCAAACCCUUGGGACUUCUGGGUGAUAGAGGUAAGAGGAGCAGGGAUCUUUUGUUAUUCAUGUGAGUCCCCUUCUGACCAUCCAUGAGUUUAUGCCACCCUGGUGGCUCUUAGAGGACAGGGUCUGAUGCCAGGGUCCCAGCCAGAUGUCAUAGGGAUGGGACUCUCACUCUCAGCCUCACACCUGCCCUAUGGGAAUAGGAGAGAGGCUGAGGAUUAAUUUACUUACCAAUGGCCGGUGGUUGAAUCAGUCAUACCUAUGUACUAGAACUCUCUACAGUGGAUUCCAGGAGCUUCCUGGUUGGUGCAUGUACUCAUAGAUGAAAGGGUAGCAGACUCUAAGCUCCAAGGCAAUGGAAGUUCGGGUACUCAGGAGCCUCCUGCAAUUGUGUUAUGUAUCUCUUCAUCUGGUGUUCAUUGGCAUUUUUUAUAUCCUUUACUAUAAACUGGUGCAUGUAUUUCCCUGUGUUUUAUAAAUCACCAUAGCAAAUUAUUGCAUAUGAGAAGGGAACAGUGAGCAAUUCCAUUUUGUAGCCAAUUUGGACUGAAGUGUGGGUCACCUGGUGACCUACCACCAGCAAUUAGCAUCCGAGUUGGCAGCAACCUUAUGGGACUGAGCUCUUGUGGGGGCUGCACAACUCUAGUUCGUGUCAGAUUUUUGCAUUAAGUAGAACACUCAGUAUCUGAAAAGAAUUGGAGAAUUUCUUGCUGUGGAAAAAAAAUCCACACACAUACUGCAUCAGAAGUGUUUUGAGUAGAGAAACAACUAUCCCUUUAAACACUAACAUUGUUUGCUAUAGUACAAUCAUCACUUCCCAUUAACUCAUUAAUUUCUUUGUCCAGCAGGCAUUUAUUCAGUACCCACUCUACUUUGGGCACUGUGUGAGGGCAGACUGUGAGUGACAGACUGACAUGUUCCACACUCUCAUGAGGCUCAUUGUCAAAUGGAGAAAGAGAAUUUUAGUGGAAGGAAAGGGAAGCAGGACAAGGGAAGCUGGCCAGGAAGCGGUGUCCAGACCUGGAAGCAGGUGGGAGUGUGGGGUUAGACCUGGAAGGGGCACUUCUGAGCCUGUCUACCCAGACUUGCUCAGAGUUACCCAGAAACGUGAGUUGUAGCUCGUGAUGAACCACACAGUGUAGAGAUCAGGAGCUUGGCUACAUUGUACAUACGUAGAAGAGGAGACAGGUUCCUUACUGGACAUUGGCUCAGUUCAGAUUGCAAGGCUGCCAGGAACAAGCUGUGCUUUUAGUAUCCCACCCCUCCCAGUUUACUGAAAUGGGAGUAAGACUAGUGCAAGAGACUUCACAGGCAUCUUAUGAAACUAUAAAGUUAGCAUGUGGGAAAAACUAGAAGAGUUUCUGGUAGUUGGUGAUCCCCAUGAAGUCCAGUUGUAUAACUCUAUUCCUUCCAGGAACUCUGGCCACAGUGACUUUGGGAUUGAGUCUCUUCCCCUCUCACUCAGGGUAGUCCUGCUGGCUUUUCUGCAUACCUGAGCCACCGCAGAAUGUUUGCGUUUGUUCUCUCUACUCCAGCGCUGCUGUUCACGUAUCUCAUUCUCUCAGAUCACCUCCUUAGAGAUACCUUCCUGCUUACCUACCGUAAAUAGUGGUCUCUUUCUUUUAGAGAUUGGUGUCAGAACAUAUGUAAGAAAAUGAUAUGAUGUCUGGGACGUUUUUCAAAAUAGACGCUGGUGGGAGCGUGGGUAGGGGUGCGAAGACAGGUCCUGGGUUGACCUUUGUAGAAGCUGAAUCUUCAUGAGUGAUCAGACUGUUUUCCCAGUUUUGUAUGUUGUCAUGCUUUUCCAUAAUGAGACAUUUUUCAAACAUUUCCUUUUACUCUGUUGUUCACAGUACUUACUAUAGUCUGAUCUUAUAUCAUUCAGCUCUUUGUUUAUUCUCUUUCUCUCUGUAAUAUAAAUUUUGGUUCCCUGCUAUAUUUUUGGUUCCUUUAACAGUGCUAGAUACCCAGUAGAUACUUCAUAAAUGUGUACAGAAUGAAUAUAUGAAAGAGUCGAAAAUAUCUAGGCAUAACUGAGAACUUGGUGGGAGUUUGAUCCUUCAGCAUUUAUAGAUAAAAGUCAUAAAGGCAAAUUUGUCUAAAUUUCUCUUUGUAAAAAUGCACACUUGACUAUCUCUCACACCAAAUUGGGCUCAUUGGCCAGGACCUCAAACUUGGGAAGACUCUGUCCUCACAGCUUCUGUGUAGUCUCUAAGAGGUCAAUUCAUUGUGUGAAUUAGGCCAGCAAGUACAGUCUUUGGGCAGUGCAGGUAGAUUCCUGCAAGGUCAAAACGGGCACCAAAUGGUCUUUGUGACCAUUUGGUUGGGAAUAUGUACGAAAUUCCAGAAUGGCAGCAUUUAAAGAUGAUGUCCUAGCUCUUCUGCGGACUUCUGGGACCAAAAGAUUUUGGACAUUUCUAGAAAUUGCUUGAAUGGUUCUGGUGGGGAAGUUAUAGGACUUUUGCAGAUAAUGACAUUUUGGUCAACAAGGGAAGGUACACGUAACAAUCAUCUCCUAAGGUUAUGAUGGAGCUGAAAAGGUCCUGUCACCUAGUGACAUUGUAAUCCUCGUGCCAUCAUCGUUCUUGUGAUGUGGUGCAACAGAGAACCCAUAUUUUGGUGAUGCUGGUGGAAACAAACCUGCAUUGCCAGCCAUAUAAAAGUAGAGCACGUACAAUUAUGUACGGUUCACAAGGCUUGAUGAUAAUACAAACUAUGUUGUUGGUUUAUGUUUUAACUAUAUGAGGGACUUCAAAAAGUUCAUGGAAAAAUAGCAUUAAAAGGAUCAUAUGCAUUUUCAUAACAUUUUUGAAGGCCUUUCAUACUGUAUGUCUUGUUAGAGUAUUUUCUUUAUUUGAAGAAAAAUGUACUGUAAAACAAUAUGCAGUCAUUCUCUUGUAUGUGAUUUAGUCUCAUGUUUUGUUCAUCAGUGCCCCAGGAGAAUAGAUUAUACCAUAUGUAUGCCUACACACACUCACACACCCCAUAGAGGCUAGUGGUGCAGUAGGCUGUGCCAUCUAGGUUUCUGCCUGGACAUUCUAUAUUUGCACAAUGAAGGAACCAUCUAACAAGCAUUUCUUAGAAUGUAUCCCCUCAUUAAGUGGUUCACAGCUGUAUUUGGGAGCAGAGGGAUAAGGUGAUAGUGAACAGGCCUUUUAAUUGUUUUUUAUUGGAGUGUGAUGGUGGACUUGGGGAUUGGGCUAUGGAGCCUAUAUCCUCCUCAUAGAUUCGGCUAAAGCCCCUCAAACAGUGGGUGGUUGAAGCUGAAGGGGCUGCUUUGCCCAGGUAAGGAAAGACUCUCUGAGUCACUGGGCACAGUGAUGCUGCUUCCAGGCCAGGUGUUAGAAUGGGGUAUCAGUUGAGGAGGGGGCAUUCUCUCCAUUUGGGUAGCCUAAUUCUGGGGGUGUCAGCACACUAGGACAUUUAGGGGUUUGUGGUUCCUAAAGAUCAAGGUCAUGGAUACAGGGUCAAAUGAGGCUUCACUCGGUUGGCUUCACAAUGCUUGGACAUCAUUGCAGGUGAACAGAGGAGACAUUCCAUGGGCACAAGUGCACCCUCUUGGUAGUGUCCCAGAAGUACGCUGUAGAGAGGCAUUGGUCCUGCAGGGGCCUGAGCCCAAGUUAGUGCAGGGUAAUCAAUGAGAUCUGCACUUAGGAACUUGGGAACACUUGAGGCAGAUGAAGGAAAUAAACAAGUAUGUCCAACACACAAUGAUUUUGUGGUGAAUUAUUAGAAAGCUCUCCAAAUGGAUGUUUUCAUUUUAAUUUUUAAACACUGAUAAAAUAGUCAAGUCCAGAGUUGAGGGAAAAAAACUAGCUUUUUAUUUCACCCAAUACAUUUCUUUGAUUUUGAAGUAAAGAGGUCAGCAUUAUGGAAAUACACCAAGUCUAAAUCAGAUUUUAUCCAAGUUAUAUGUAGACAAGUACUCUGUUACUACAAGCCUACACAUCUCAUUUCCUUUUCUGUCUAGUCCUCCAUUUAAUAACCUGAAAAAUCUAUCUUUUUAUUGAGUUUCAUGCUAUUUUCUUACUUACAUACAAUAGUGCUACUCUUAGCAAUUGCCUAUUGUCAUGGCACAUUAGUUCAGUGAAUUUGUUGAUAUUUCAAAAUUACUCUUUCAUCCAGUUUAAACAAGUGAUUGGGAGCACUCCUGUGAGGAAAGCAAAAAGGCAACACAUUUUAUUUUGAAGUAAAUUGUGUUUAUGGUAAGGUAGUUGGUAUUAUUCUGGUUUCUAGCUAUAGACAAGCACAGUACUCCUUACCUGCCCAUGUCUAAUUCACUUCCGUUAGUUCCCAAUACCUGUUGAGUCCCUUCAAAGGAAAACAGGGGCUGUUUGGCAGUGUGGGGGGGAUGGGGCUUGGGGACAGAAGGAAAACAAGGAAGGAUGAGGACUUAAAGGAAGCUGAGGCACAGUUUCUGCCUUUGUGGAGCUUUGGGACAAUGUUGUUCAUCAGCCACGCGUGUUUCCUGAUAACCAUGGCUCGUGUGCCAGGAAUCGAGAGGGGAACAGAGCAAGAACCUCUUGUCUAGAGACACCUCCAGUCUAGUCACCCUCUGGGAGAGCUGGAAGAAAAUGGUGCAGGGAGCCCAGGCAGGAGACCACCAGCAGCCAUACAGAGCAUGGGAGAUUUCCUGGGGAGGACAGCUUUGGAACCGAGUGUUAAAGGUUGGCUAGGAGUUGAUUUAGGGGGAAGUGACAUAGGGAGAAGAAAAGGCUUCCAACCACUGGGAACAGCACGGUCAAGGAUGUAGUCUAAGAAACAGGGUUUUGUGUGUGUAGAGCCUCUAUAUUGGCCCUUGUGAUUACGUUUGGGAACGUGAAUGAAGCAGGAAAGCAGCAGAUGAAGAGGUAAGGCAUGCGUUUCUGGAGGAAGGACUUGGUAUAGCAGCUUAUGGGAGAUGAGAUCAGAAUCUGAGAGUGAUCACUUGGGUGAUGGAGUUGGUCUGGGUGGUGUGGGUAAGGCUUUAGGCAGAUGAGAACAGGAGGUGGCAGUGGGAUGACAGAGAGAGGGGGUCGCCCAUAACUAGGAGGAGUGUGCAGCUGUGGGUAACUUUGUGCACAGAGAAGCACCAUCUUGUUCACCAUUCAUUCAUUGAUUCAGAAAACACUGAGCAUCAAGUGUAUGUCAGCUAUGGUGGUGUGGUCUCUGCCAAAGCGCUUCCAGGGUGUGGGGGAUAUGUAGACAGAUAACUAAAAGCCAGUGGGUAUGAGGCAGGGCAGGGGUGUGUUGGGGACUGACUGGCUCAGUGUGGGAAAGUGGAGGGGUGUCAGGGAAGCUUCCUCAGGAUCCCACAGAAGCCCAACCCUUAGUAAACUGCAGAUCAGCUAUGCAAAUUGGCAAAGACAAGAAGCUAGAGGGUAAGAGCAUAGGAUUCUGGGGACGACAGGAAGCCUGUUGUAUUCUGACCGUUCAGAGCACAUUUAGGGCAGACGAUGGAGCUUGGAAACUUGUGAGCUGGGUUUUGGAGGCAGAGGAAGAAAGUGGGAAACAAAUUAGGAUGCACAUGUGUGACUGGGGUGCAACUGCUCACAUGGUACAGAGAGCCUCCUGGGCCAGUGCCCUCGGGCUGCUGCUGUGAAAACACCUGAGAGGAUGUCGGGGUCCUUUUGCAGUGUUGUGGAGGAGACCUUAACAGCUCUGCAGCCUGGGAGACAGCACCAGUCAUCAAAUCAUAAAACGCUUCCACAUAUUUUAUACAAAGGGAAAUCUAAUCUGACUGGCUAAAACUUAACACUUAAGCUUUGAAUAAUAAAAACAAAGCCAUCGACUUUUAAAAUACAGGAUGUCUUCUGUUUCAUAAAAGUAUAGAUUAUCAUAUCCAUGAAUGUGUUAAGAUUGAGCUGUGACUUUAUAAACUAUUUUUUAACUUAGAAGGGCUAUACUAACUUUACAAGAGCUUUGGACUGUGAGGAUCUUGCCAGAAUAGAUGGAAGUCUUAUUUUCUUCGGGGAUAUUUUGCUCCUGAGUAUAAAUCUUUUUCUAUAGUUUCUAUUUUAUUGUUCAAACCCCCAAAAAUUUCUGUGAAUUCAACCAAUUCAUCACUUUAAAAAGCAAAGCAUAUGCAUCUUCUUCCUUCCAUCCCAAUAGUCACAUUGAUUAUUCAAAUGUGCUUAUAACACAUGUUAUGUACACUAUCUCAGCUUUAUCAACCUACAGGCAAAUAAAGAACCCUGUUUCAGCUGUUGCUGAAUUUUAUUAUGCAUAGUGGCUUGCCUCAUAAAGCUUAUUCACUGAACAUCUGUUAUUGAAGAAAGCUAGUCAGAUGGCAUGCUGUCUUUCCACAAAACAACACUACAUUUCAGUCAGAUGUUCUAUUUUUCUCCCAAGGAUCAGCAAAAACCAACCCAUUGGUUGUUGACCGGCAUUGACCCACACUGACAUAGAACAUCUAUUUAACAUAGUAUCUACUUUCUUGAACAUAUGAUAAGAAUCAGCUAUACAAUGAACACUCCAGGUAGAAGAAAAUAACAAUUUGAGUCAUGUCACACUUCUGGUAUGUGGAGGUCUGUAUACAGCCCUGGGUGAAAACCUGUGGUUGCUACGAGUACAGGGGGUACUUUGGGCAAAUGGUUGGCAGAGUGACUCUGUACACCACAGGAACAGCUGGAGCAGCAUCCAUGUUAGAUGUGCUGCAGUGCGAGUGCCCUAAACAGCAUUGUGCUAUUAAGAAAAACAAACAGGUGAAAUUAUUAGAGAAAAUACGACUCUGUAGAAGUGGGAAGAUAAGUACAUAAAAGAGAAAGCAAAAACAAAAACAGCAAAAAAACAUGAUCCGUACGCUCAGAGGUAAAUAAAAUCCUUCUGCGUUCACAAAAUAUAUUGGUUAGAGGUUGUUCUGAAAACAUUAAGCUAACAGGAAGAACCACUACCUGUAGGAGCCGUAAGCCAAGAAAAUAUAAAAAGUUGUUGUAUAGAUUGUUUGGGAAGUUCCCAUUAAUAAAAGCGAACAUAGGUUAAAAAACAGAAAGCUUAAUCUCACCUGGAGCAAAAGCAAGGCUGUGUCAGAAUGCUCCACAUUUAGGGAGAAGAGAGCAGCGAGUCACGGACUGAAAAAAACCAACCUCUCCAAUUAGCAGAGAGAAAAAUGAUUAUAAUUUUUUUGGCCAAUAUUGGUAACAUUGAGCAGUGAAUGGGUGUGCAUGUAUAGGCAGGAGUGAGGUAGCUAGUGAUGCAGGAGGGAAUGUGGCAUCACUGGAUGUGGGGCACCGGGGCUUUCUUCCUGACUCAGCAGCCCCCUGGCCUGGCCAUCUCGCCUUCCUGAGCCUGUAAGUCCUUGCAUGCAAAAUGAGCAGGUUGGGCCAGGCAGAUGCAGCAGUUAGGACAUCACUUGGGUUGCCCACGGCCUAUGCUGGGGUUUGUGGGUUCAAGACCCAACUCCACUUCUAAUACAGCUUUCUGCUUGGAUUGAGUUCCAGGCUCCCAGCUUCAGCUUGGCCCACACCUGGCUAUUGCAGGUGUCUGGGGAGUGCGUGAACCAGUGGAAGAUGUUGAUAUCCUUUCCUCUUUUCCCUCCCCCCUCCACCCCGUCACCAUCCUGCUCCCUUUCUAAAAUAAGUCAAUAAUUUAACAGUCGAGAAGUUUGAACUAGAUCAGCGACCCUCAAUGGGCAGAGAAGCUGCAGCAAUUUUAGGGUCUCUGAUGAAAAUCGCUGAGAUGCAAAAAGGUCCACAAAUCAAUUGCCCCUUGUGAGCUCCAAGGACAGGAGAAGAAAAUACUUCCUUCCUCCUCCUAAGCCCUGCAGGGUUGGGUUGAAGUCAGUUCUGAGAAUGCUCAGCUCCUCUGGAGCAGACCUGGGAGAAAGAGCUCUCCACCACGGUGGCUCCUAGGGUGUGCUCCUGGGACCGGCACCAUCAGCAUAACCAGGGAACUGUCAAAAAUAUGAAUGCCCUGUUUCCACCCUCAAAUCUGCACACUCAGAAAUGCUGGUCAGCCGGCACCGCGGCUCACUAGGCUAAUCCUCCGCCUUGCGGCGCCGGCAAACCAGGUUCUAGUCCCGGUCGGGGCGCUGGGUUCUGUCCCAGUUGCCCCUCUUCCAGGCCAGCUCUCUGCUGUGGCCAGGGAGUGCAGUGGAGGAUGGCCCAGGUGCUUGGGCCCUGCACCCCAUGGGAGACCAGGAGAAGCACCUGGCUCCUGCCUUCGGAUCAGCGUGGUGCACCGGCCACGGCGGCCAUUGGAGGGUGAACCAAUGGCAAAGGAAGACCUUUCUCUCUGUCUCUCUCUCUCACUGUCCAAAAAAAACAAAACAAAACAAAAAAAAAACCAACAAAAAUAACGCUGGGCAUGGGGCUGCAAUCGGGUGCUAACAGUUCUUCAGGUGUUGCUGAUUUAUGCUAACGUCUGAGAACCUCUGAACUGGGAAGUCUCUAAGGUUUCUUCAAAGGAUAGAAGUCUAUGAUGAUGCUUAAAUGCAAUACAAUUUGGCACAGGGCUGUGAUUUUUUUUUGAGUUCUCCUAUAAGAAUUACAAAAUAAAUAUAGCAACCAAAUAUAGUUUUCUAAAUCUGUUUUAGCAAUUGGGAACAUAUGGCUGGAAAUAAGCACUUAGUGAGUCAGGACUUAGAGGAAAUUUCUAACACAAUUGUGGUGUGUGCUGACUUCGGAGUUGGUCAGCAGCAGUAGGUAAGUGAAUACCUUUAGGCUUCACUGGGGCUUGAGCAGAGCCAGUAGAAUGUUCUACCAUGGGGAACAACACCAGCAUUUUAUUUUUUAUUUUUACUUAUUUAUUUAUUUGACAGAAUUACAGAGAGAGAAACACUGAGAGAAAGGUCCUCCCUCUGUUGGUUCUCUCCCCAGAUGGCCGCUACGGCCAGCACUGUGCCCAUCCGAAGCCAGGAGCCAGGUGCUUCCUCCUGGUCUCCCAUGCGGGUGCAGGACCCAAGGACCUGGGCCAUCCUCCACUGCCCUCCCGGGACACAGCAGAGAACUGGACUGGAAGAGGAGCAACGGGGACCAGAACCAGCACCCAUUUUAAAUCUACAGGAGACUUAAUAAAAAGUCAAUUACUUGAUGUUGAAAGAGAAAUAAUUAAGUUAGCCAUGCAAAGGCUUUCAAAAACUAUAGUGAAGACUGAGAACUGGAAUAUCUUUUGCUGUAUACUGAAAAAUACCACCACAGAAGGCAGUGGAAAAUGUAGUUAUUAUUACAAAAUUUAGGCAGAGAUAUAGCUACUGGGCAUUAGUAUUAAGAUAACUAAGUGUGAAACUUCAGAAUAAUUUGGGUUUUGCAGAGGACAUUCCUGAACCUGUACAAUAGCUUUACUCAUAUUUUCUUUGAUUGUUCAGAUUAGCAUAUCCACUGCUUUGUUCUUGUUUUCUGUAUCACUUUUAGAAAAGGAGCACCUUUUGUUCUUUAUGUUUCUGAAUUGCACUAUAGGGAGGAAAAAUAAAGCAAUUGACUUAGAGGUGAUCACAGAAUUACUUUAUAGGAAGCAUUAUUAAAAUAGAGAAAUAGAAAAAGAAAAAAAAAAUUGGUUUCCAGAAUUUGGACAAGUUGAUCAAGAUAGUUACAUGACUUUUAAGGGGAAAAAAAAAGCCAUCAAGGAACAAGGAAAAAAGUGAUUGUCAAGAAUUUCUCAAACUAGAAUGGAAGUUCAUGGUGUCUUUAGAACACUGUAUAUUUAGCUUGUACCAGUGGUACUUUGGUAGAACUUUGGCAAUUGCAGCAAUUUCCAAAGUAUCUUCUGUGGAACCCUGUACCAACCAUGUGCCUUAGAAUAGAGGGUUUGGGAAACACUGCCUGCAGCUUCUACCUCUUGAUGAUUCAUAAUGCCUUUCAGCAUGUUAAAGGAAGUUGUCUACAGAUGGAUAAACCUGCACAGUUUGUUUAACUCUACACCUUCCAGCACAUUUUAUCAUGGGACCCCAAUUUUCAUAUAGUACCACAUGUAAAAUCCCUUAGAACUGUGUCCUGUGUUUAGGACUCAGGGACAAGCUAGAUGACACAUUACUUUGUUAUACACAGUUUGAACCUAUGAGCUAAUGGAAUAAGCAUGUAAUCUACCUUGGCUAUUCUCAUCAACUAUAUCUAAAGGAAGGACUAUAUCUUCCAAACCCAGAUGCUCCAUAAACUAUCUGGGAAUCAUUCUCUUUGGUGCUUUAGUUAAUGUUCAUGCAAAUUGGUUACGAUGCAAUUUAUUGAUCUAAAAAGUAUCAUGGAAACGCAUGAGCUUUGAGAAUUCACAAACAGAUCUUUGUUACCAUUAAGUGACCAUGAUGGAAGUAUUUCUGCAUUACUGUAAAUAAAAUGUUACCACUAAGUGAGCAUGAUAAUGUCUGAUGAAUCUUCAUUCUCACUACCUGAUGUAACAUCUUUUACUGGGGCCGGUGCUGUGGCGCAGCAGGUUAAUGCCCUGGCCUGAAGCGCGGGUAUCCCAAAUGGACACUGGUUCUAGUCCCGGCUGCUCCACUUCUGAUCCAGCUCUCUGCUGCGGCCUGGGAAAGCAGUAGAGGAUGGCCCAAGUCCUUGCGGCCCCUGCACCUGCGUGGGAGACCCAGAAGAAGCUCCUGGCUUCAGAUUGGCGCAGCUCCAGCUGUUGCAGCCAAUUGGGGAGUGAACCAUCGGAUGGAAGAAUUCUCUCUCUCCCUCUCACUCUCUCUCUGCCUCCCUCUCUCUGCCUCUCCUCUCUGUAACUCUGACUUUCAAAUACAUAAAUCUUUAAAAAAAACUUUUACAUCCCAGAAAUGGAAUGGAAUGCCGUGGAAAGCAUGCACAGUUGUUAGAGAAGAAAUUACUAUGAGGGGGAAAACUGAGAUGGUCUUUUACUGGUUUGUUGGGAUAGGGUCAUUUGUGUCAUGAAUAUCCUUGUGUACCUAUUUUAAAGGCUACAGAUUUAAAUUCUAUCUCUUGGGUGACUUAAUUUUGGAUUGAGAGUAAUACUUUUAAUAUGUAUCCUGGUAGAUAACUGCUACACAUGAGGGGAAACAUGACCAUGAAGAUUUUCAUUUUGUUUUAAAAACCUCAAUUUUAAAAGUGCUGCUUGUUAACAAAUAAAACCCAGAAACAAUUCUUUUUCAUUUACAAAAAAAAAAAAUCAUGGAAAAUGGAGUGAAAAAAUAAGUUUUUUUUGGUGUGAAAAAAACUGAGAUCCAUAUGUAUGGAUGGGUUUCAGAAAGUUUAUGGAAAAUGCAUGUUAUGGAGAAACUAUGCAUGGAUUUCAAUUGUUUUUUUGAUACCAAACUCAAUUUACACUUGAAUUCUAUUUCCAUGAACUUUUUGAAGUCCCUUCAAAUACAGGGUAUAUAAUUAUGAAAAACACCUUUUUGUAUUAAGCAGCAAAUUAGUCCUCUAGUUCUCUUAGUUUCUGUGACUAUAGUUUUUCUUUUAACUUUAAAAAUAAAGGGGAUAAAUUUGCUCAUGUAGAUCAGCUGCUUUGCUUCAUAACUGCAAGAAAGGCAAGUUACUCAACGAUGUUAUUUUGGUUAGAUUCAAAGUUCUGGAAGAAAUGUUUCUUUCAUACAAAAUAUAGCCAUUGCAAAUUAUCUGAAGUCUUAAAUUACA